rnacentral:rRNA from 1 species
UACGUAGGGGGCUAGCGUUGUCCGGAAUCAUUGGGCGUAAAGCGCGUGUAGGCGGUCCGGUAAGUCCGCUGUGAAAGUCGGGGGCUCAACCCUCGGAUGCCGGUGGAUACUGUCGGGCUUGAGUACGGAAGAGGCGAGUGGAAUUCCUGGUGUAGCGGUGAAAUGCGCAGAUAUCAGGAGGAACACCAGUGGCGAAGGCGGUUGCCUGGGGCUUUGCUGACGCUGAUGCGCGAAAGCGUGGGGAGCGAUCCGG